rnacentral:rRNA from 1 species
AUGUCGUCGGACAUCAGGAAAUGGUUCAUGAAGCCGCACGACAAGAAUGCCGGUGCGGCCAAGCCCUCUGCCGCCGGCGCCGCGCCGCCGGCGGCCAAGAAGCCCGUGCUCAGCAUCCCCGAGAAGGCUGCGACAUCUUCGGUGUCUGGCAAUCAAGAUGCUUCAGCUAGAAGGAAGACAAGCAAGUACUUUGCACCCAAAACAGAAAAAGAUGCAGAUGUUGCUGAGAAGAGUUCUUCUAAAAGAAAACUUCAGAAAAGCAGCGAGGACCUUGAGGAUGACAUCAAGCCUUUCGCAGCAAACAAGGCCCUUAAGGAUGAAGAAGACGACGACGACGACUUUGUGGCGCCUUCGAAAAAGAAAACUCCAGUGAAGCCACCACCAUUAAAGAAGUUGAAGGCUGCAUCUAAUGAUGAUGACCAGGACGAAAGGAUGGAUGAAGAUGCCGAGACCCCUUCCAAAGCAGCUGGAAGGGGAAGGGGAAGGGGAGGAAGAGGAGCAGGAGCAGCCCAUGGAAAGACUACGAGUCAUGAUGAUGGUGGUGGGGAGGACAGGAUGGAUGAAGAUGCUAAGACCCCUUCCAAAGCAGCUGGAAGGGGAAGAGGAAGGGGAAGGGGAAGGGUUGGAAGAGGAGGAGGAAUGGCUCAUGGGAAGACUACUAGUGGUCUUGAUGAUGAUGGUGAGGAGGAUAGGAUGGAUGAAGAUGACAAGACCCCUUCCAAAGCAGCUGCAAGGGGAAGAGGAGGCAGAGGAGCAGGAGCUACUCCUGGGGGAAGAGGUAGAGGAGGGGGUGGGAGAGGUUUCAUGAAUUUUGGUGAAAGGAAGGAUCCCCCUCACAAAGGGGAGAAGGAAGUCCCAGAGGGUGCCCCUGACUGUUUAGCUGGUCUGACAUUUGUCAUAAGUGGUACCCUUGACAGUCUUGAACGGGAGGAAGCAGGUGAUCUAAUAAAGCGUUACGGGGGACGUGUUACCGGUUCAAUUAGUAAAAAGACGAGUUACCUAUUGGCUGAUGAAGAUAUUGGGGGAGUGAAAUCUAAUAAAGCAAAAGAUCUGGGAGUCCCGUUCUUGACUGAAGAUGGUUUAUUUGAUAUGAUCCGGAAAUCAAAGCCUGCAAAGGCUCCUGUAAACAAACAUGAAGGUAACAGCAAUUCAGAAAAGCUACUGAAGUCACAGACGAAGAGCUCUCCAGUUAAAGCUGAAAGAAGAGCUGUCGAUCAAGUCGGUACCAUGGGCAAGAGUACUCCCUCAAAGAGUAAUAAAGAAAGCAACUCCACCAACAACCAAAAGGUCAAGGUUGUUGACCGCGGUUCUUUGCAAUGGACAGAGAAAUAUCGGCCAAAAGUUCCAAACGACAUAGUUGGCAACCAAUCAAUGGUUAAACAAAUUCAUGAUUGGUUGAAAAGUUGGGAGGAUCAAUUCCUUCAUUCUGGCCAAAAGGGCAAAGGAAAGAAGCAGGCUGAUGGUGGAGCUAAAAAAGCUGUAUUGCUGAGUGGACCUCCAGGUAUUGGUAAGACUACAACUGCAAAAGUUGUUAGUCAGAUGCUUGGAUUGCAGGCCAUUGAGGUUAAUGCAAGUGAUAGCCGUGGUAAAGCAGACUCCAAGAUCGAGAAAGGUGUUGGGGGGAGCACAUCAAAUUCUAUCAAAGAGCUUAUCAGCAAUGCUACUCUGAAUUAUAGUGACAACCGGACAAAGAAGCCUAAGGCUGUACUCAUCAUGGACGAAGUUGACGGUAUGUCUGCUGGUGAUAGAGGUGGAGUUGCUGAUCUUAUUGCCAGCAUCAAGAUAUCGAAGAUUCCUAUAGUUUGCAUUUGUAAUGAUCGUUAUAGCCAGAAGCUGAAGAGCCUUGUAAAUUACUGUUUGCUACUCAACUUCAGGAAACCAACAAAGCAGCAGAUGGGCAAGAGGUUGAUGGAGAUUGCCAGAAAAGAAGGCAUUCAAGCUCAAGAGAAUGCAAUGGAAGAGCUUGCAGAAAGAGUACAUGGGGAUAUUCGCAUGGCACUCAACCAUUUGCAAUAUAUGAGUCUCUCUCAGUCUGUGGUCAAAUAUGAUGAUAUAAGGUUGCGUCUUAAUAGUAGCUCAAAAGAUGAAGAUAUCUCUCCCUUCACGGCUGUGGACAAGCUAUUUGGUUUCAAUGGUGGGAGACUAAGGAUGGAUGAGAGAAUCGACUUGAGCAUGAGCGAUCCUGAUUUAGUUCCCCUUAUUAUCCAGGAAAAUUAUAUCAAUUAUCGGCCUAGUGCCGCUGGGAAGGAUGACAGUGGUGUUAAAAGAAUGAAUUAUCUUGCCCGUGCCGCUGAGUCUAUAGCGGACGGUGAUAUUGUUAAUGUGCAAAUAAGAAGAUAUCGACAGUGGCAGCUGUCCCAAGCUGCUUGUUUGGCUUCAUCAAUAGUACCUGCUGCUUUGAUGCAUGGAAAUAGAGAAGUCCUUGAAGCAGGUGAACGAAACUUUAAUAGGUUUGGUGGAUGGUUGGGCAAGUACUCAACUACUAACAAAAACAAAAGGCUACUGGAAGAUGUCCAUAGUCAUAUUCUUGCAUCACAGCAAGCUAAUUUGGAUAGGGAGGCGUUGAGGCUCGAUUAUCUCACUCUUCUCUUGAGACAGUUGACUGACCCACUGAAGACAAUGCCUAAGGAGGAGGCUGUCCAAAAGGUGGUGGAGUUUAUGGAUACCUACUCUUUAAGCCAGGAAGACUUUGACACGCUUGUUGAAUUAUCUAAAUUUAAGGGCCAUCCAAAUCCUAUGGAUGGUAUUCAACCAGCUGUCAAAAGUGCCUUGACGAAGGCAUACAAACAAGGAAGUAGCUCUCGUGUCGUUCGAUCAGCAGAUCUAAUAAAUAUUCCGGGCAUGAAAAAAACUUUAAAGAAACGAGUGGCAGCAAUCCUGGAGCCAUUGGAUGAGAGUUUGCCUGAAGAAACUGGAGUAGCAUCUGCAGAAGGUGAUGAAGAGGAAUUGUCUGAUGCUGAAAAUGAUGAUGAACUUGUGCCUGGUGACUCGAAGCCAAAACUGGACCUGCAGAGUGAUAAUAAGAAAGGAAUUCAAGUGCAGCUCAACCUGAAGAGCAAUGGCAACGGGUCGAGCGCAAAGAAGGCGCCAGCAGCAAGAUCAAAAGCUCCUGGGUCUGCAGGGAAGGCUGUCGGAGGCUCAGGCGGGAAGCGGAAGAGGUAG